rnacentral:rRNA from 1 species
GUGGGGAAUUUUGGACAAUGGGCGCAAGCCUGAUCCAGCCAUUCCGCGUGCAGGAUGAAGGCCUUCGGGUUGUAAACUGCUUUUGUACGGAACGAAAAGCCUCUGGUUAAUACCCGGGGGUCAUGACGGUACCGUAAGAAUAAGCACCGGCUAACUACGUGCCAGCAGCCGCGGUAAUACGUAGGGUGCGAGCGUUAAUCGGGAUUACUGGGCGUAAAGCGUGCGCAGGCGGUGAUGUAAGACAGUUGUGAAAUCCCCGGGCUCAACCUGGGAACUGCAUUGGUGACUGCAAGGCUGGAGUGCGGCAGAGGGGGAUGGAAUUCCGCGUGUAGCAGUGAAAUGCGUAGAUAUGCGGAGGAACACCGAUGGCGAAGGCAAUCCCCUGGGCCUGCACUGACGCUCAUGCACGAAAGCGUGGGGAGCAAACAGGAUUAGAAACCCCUGUAGUCC